AGUGAACGCUGGCGGUAGGCCUAACACAUGCAAGUCGAACGGCAGCACAGUAAGAGCUUGCCCUUACGGGUGGCGAGUGGCGGACGGGUGAGGAAUACAUCGGAAUCUACUUUUUCGUGGGGGAUAACGGAGGGAAACUUACGCUAAUACCGCAUACGACGUACGGGUGAAAGCAGGGGAUCUUCGGACCUUGCGCGACAGAAUGAGCCGAUGUCGGAUUAGCUAGUUGGCGGGGUAAAGGCCCACCAAGGCGACGAUCCGUAGCUGGUCUGAGCGGAUGAUCAGCCACACUGGAACUGAGACACGGUCCAGACUCCUACGGGAGGCAGCAGUGGGGAAUAUUGGACAAUGGGCGCAAGCCUGAUCCAGCCAUACCGCGUGGGUGAAGAAGGCCUUCGGGUUGUAAAGCCCUUUUGUUGGGAAAGAAAAGCAGCAGGUUAAUACCCCGCUGUUCUGACGGUACCCAAAGAAUAAGCACCGGCUAACUUCGUG
rnacentral:rRNA from 1 species